rnacentral:lncRNA from 1 species
AGUGUGUGCGCGGUUUUUUUUUUUUAAUUGCUCUUUGCUUUUGCAACCCUGAAGCAAAAGGGGGGGGGGGUAGUUACAGGGAAAAAAAAAGCGAGAAAGAAGCUCUUAGAUUUGCAACACAUCGGAAAACCGGGGGAGCACCCCGCCUUAUCCGAUCUCCAUGCUCCGCAAGGGCCUUCCGGGUUUUAGGACAAGCUUCUCAAUGUCCCGUUUCGCUGGGUUUAGGAUCCGAGGAGUCCGAGCAAAAAGUUCUCCCCCUGGGUCGUAGUGACGGGUGUCGGGGUGGGAGUUGCGGGGAUUUUUCAAGAAGCAGCAGCUACCCCGGCGUCGGUCACUGGGCCGGGGUAGGGGAAAGAGCAAAAUCCCAGUGGGUUUGCGCGAGGGAUCUUCUAGGGUCGAGGCGGGUGUGGGGGGAGUUGGAACCGGGAGACACCGCUUGGCGCAUCUCUCCCUCGGUCUCUACCUCCUGUCCUAUGCCAGCUCCCCCUUUAAUUUUUUUCCUCUCCUUUAAUCUAAUUUCUUCCAACUCCACCUUUGUUGUUACCGGCGUCACACCCGGACCAGCCAAUCCCCGCCACGCAAUCAGCUUGUCAAAAAGCCUCGGCCAUCCCUAGGAAAGCAGGCCGCAGGCGCUGCCCCCCGGCGGCGGCGGGCAGCCGCGAGGGGAGCCCAGCACCCGGUUCUCGCUGCCCCGGGUGGCAGCGGGGCAGCCUCCGACAAGACGUCCCUUGGUUCACUGUCCUGCAGGCCGGGGAUGAAAGGCCUGGACAGGGUCCACCACCCACUCUCCCACUGCCACGGCCGUGGUUGACUGUCUUUGCCUCCCCUUUUCAGAGGAAAGGUUAUCAGGACAGGACGCAGGGAGCCAGAAGACCAUCUGAAGGAAGCCUGCUUCCAACGGGCCCAGCCUCCAGCCACCGCUCCUGGGGCAGCGCCAUUGCUCCUGGCUCUCAGGCUGCCAGUCUCCCACACCGACGCUCUACUGCCCGCAUCUCGGCCAGCUGGGUCACCCAGCCCCUUUCGACUCUCCCCUGGCACGCAGCCUUCUCCUUCACUCGGCCUGCCUCGCUGCUGCUGUAAUUCCUCUUGUCUCCUGGGAGAAAUGAGAUUGCUUUCCCAGGACUUCCACAUCCCACUUCUAUCAGGUUUCACCAACAGGGAGGAAGCCCUGUCAAGAUCUGGUGUGUCCUGUUUUUUUUUUUUUUUUUUCCCAGAGGGCACUGGCAUGUAGGAGAAGCGGAUUUACCACUAGUAGAUGUUAAUGAAAUUUCAGCUUCUAGGCCCCUAACUUGCAGGACCUGCCCAAGGCCCUGAACUUAAUUUUGUUUUCAUCAUUUGGUAUUUUUUUGUUAAAAGAGCCACCGACCACCUCCCCGCUACCCCAGAACUGCACGUGUUUCUGGCCCUACAAACCCAGAUCGUCCCUUGGAAUAUACACAGGGCAAUUUGUGUAGGAUCACACUGCGCUAAAAGUGAGGCAUGGUGGGCUAGGCGCACUGGCUCACACCUGUAAUCCCAGCACUUUGGGAGACCAAGACAGGAGGUCUUAAGUGAUUAAGCCCAGGAGUUCGAGAUCAGCUUAGACAACAUAGCAAGAUGCUGCCUCUACAAACACACACACCCCCUAUUAUAAUAUGUCAAAAAAAAAAAAAAAAAAAGGAAAAGUGAGGCAUAGAACUGACUUUAUUGUUUUGACUAGGAAAGAGCAAAGGGUUUGGAAUCAAAAGUCCCAACUUCCCCACCUUCUUAAUAGUGUGUGAAUCUGAGUGCCUUAUUAACCUUCCCUGGUCCCAGUUUCGUAUCUGUAAAGUUAGAAUAGCAAUCCUGUUUAAUUUGCUUCUCUCACCAGGGAUCAGAAGGCCAAAUGAGAUGAUGUAUGUAAAAUUGUAAAGUCCUCCACAGAUGGCACUUGCCACAUUACAGAGAACUUGAGACCCCCCCCCACCAAUAACGUUCCAAAUCUUCCACAUGCAGAUCUGGAGUCCAGGUGUCCUGGCUCCUGGCCCUGAACUUUUUGGCUGGGCCAAGGGGCUUUUCGGUAAAGUGCUUUGGAAUAAAACAGGAUGAACAUGAAUCAUAAGAAUGAGUAUUUAUUGAUUCCUUGGGCAGCAAAAACUAUGGCUGGCACCCUUCCCACUUGGAAACGA